AGCAGCCGCGGUAAUUCCAGCUCCAAUAGCGUAUAUUAAAGUUGUUGCAGUUAAAAAGCUCGUAGUUGAAUUUCGGGAUCAGUACGCUGGUCGUGCCUUCGGUAUGUACUGGUGUUACUGGUUCCUACCUUCUGACGAACCGUCAUGUCAUUAAUUUGGUGUGGCGGGGAAUCAGGACUGUUACUUUGAAAAAAUUAGAGUGUUUAAAGCAGGCUCGCGCUUGAAUACAUUAGCAUGGAAUAAUGAAAUAGGACGUUUGAUCCUAUUUUGUUGGUUUCUAGGAUUGACGUAAUGAUUAAUAGGGAUAGUUGGGGGCAUUAGUAUUCAAUUGUCAGAGGUGAAAUUCUUGGAUUUUAUUGAAGACUAACUACUGCGAAAGCAUUUGCCAAGGAUGUUUUCAUUAAUCAAGAACGAAAGUUAGGGGAUCGAAGACGAUCAGAUACCGUCGUAGUCUUAACCAUAAACUAUGCCGACUAGGGAUCGGAUGAUGUUAAUUUUUUAAUGACUCAUUCGGCGCCUU
rnacentral:sRNA from 1 species